CCCAGCGCUGAAGCGCUGGGCUAAAUUAUGUUGCCCCUGACGGGGCG
rnacentral:sRNA from 1 species